UGUUCAAGCCGGCAGGUGUUGCAUGUGCGGGGUUGUGGGGGCCUUGUGGUUCUGCUGCCGCAGGAUUGGCCAGUGAGAAAUGUUGCGUGAAGGUGAAGCGUCUGGGAAGGCGUACCGGAGUGGGUGAGAGUCCUGUAACUGUAAGCGUGGCACUGGUGUGGGGUUGCCCCGAGUAGCGUGGGACUCGUGGAAUUUCGCGUGAAUCUGGCGGGACCACCCGUCAAGCCUAAAUACUCCUUGGCCCGAUAGUGGAUGAGUAC
rnacentral:rRNA from 9 species